GUGGGGAAUAUUGCACAAUGGGCGGAAGCCUGAUGCAGCGACGCCGCGUGAGGGAUGACGGCCUUCGGGUUGUAAACCUCUUUCAGCACGGAAGAAGCGAAAGUGACGGUACGUGCAGAAGAAGCGCCGGCUAACUACGUGCCAGCAGCCGCGGUAAUACGUAGGGCGCAAGCGUUGUCCGGAAUUAUUGGGCGUAAAGAGCUCGUAGGCGGUUUGUCGCGUCUGCUGUGAAAGCCCGGGGCUUAACCCCGGGUGUGCAGUGGGUACGGGCAGACUUGAGUGCAGUAGGGGAGACUGGAAUUCCUGGUGUAGCGGUGAAAUGCGCAGAUAUCAGGAGGAACACCGAUGGCGAAGGCAGGUCUCUGGGCUGUUACUGACGCUGAGGAGCGAAAGCAUGGGGAGCGAACAGGA
rnacentral:rRNA from 1 species